UCAAACUUGGUCAUUUAGAGGAAGUAAAAGUCGUAACAAGGUUUCCGUAGGUGAACCUGCGGAAGGAUCAUUAACGAAUUGUAAAGGGGGUUGAUGCUGGUAGAGUUCUCUCUGCAUGUGCUCGCUCCCGACAAUCUCUUAAUUCAUACACCUGUGCACCCUCUGGGAGUUUGGUUAUCCGGUUCAUUCUGGAUUUUUCCCUCUCUCCUUCUUUAUAAAAACCCCCUUUUGUAAAACAUCGAACGUGAAUUAGUGCCGCAAGGCCUUAAACAAAUACAACUUUUAACAACGGAUCUCUUGGCUCUCGCAUCGAUGAAGAACGCAGC
rnacentral:misc_RNA from 1 species